rnacentral:rRNA from 1 species
UACGAAGGAUCCUAGCGUUGUCCGGAUUUACUGGGUUUAAAGGGAGCGUAGGCGGACUUUUUAAGUCAGUGGUGAAAGCCUGCAGCUUAACUGUAGAAUUGCCAUUGAAACUGAUUGUCUCGAGUGCGGUUGAGGUCACUGGAAUGUAUCAUGUAGCGGUGAAAUGCUUAGAUAUGAUACAGAACACCAAUUGCGAAGGCAGGUGACUAAGCCGUAACUGACGCUGAGGCUCGAAAGCGUGGGGAUCAAACAGGA